rnacentral:rRNA from 1 species
GAUGAACGCUAGCGGCAGGCCUAAUACAUGCAAGUCGAACGGUGUCUUCGGACACAGUGGCGCACGGGUGCGUAACACGUAUGCAACCUACCUUACAUUGGGGGAUAGCCUUUCGAAAGGGAGAUUAAUACCGCAUAAGACAGUAGCUGGGCAUCCAGCAGCUGUUAAAGAUUUAUCGAUGUAAGCUGGGCAUGCGUCCAAUUAGCUAGUUGGUGAGGUAACGGCUCACCAAGGCAAUGAUUGGUAGGGGAACUGAGAGGUCAAUCCCCCACACUGGCACUGAGAUACGGGCCAGACUCCUACGGGAGGCAGCAGUAGGGAAUAUUGGGCAAUGGACGCAAGUCUGACCCAGCCAUGCCGCGUGCAGGAUGAAGGCGUUAUGCGUUGUAAACUGCCUUUAUACAGGAAGAAACGACUCUUGCGAGAGGCAUUGACGGUACUGUAUGAAUAAGCACCGGCUAACUCCGUGCCAGCCGCCGCUGUAAAAC